UACAGAGGGGGCAAGCGUUAUUCGGAAUUAUUGGGCGUAAAGGGCGCGUAGGCGGCUUGGCAAGUGGAAGGUGAAAUCCCUCGGCUUAACCGAGGAACUGCCCUCCGAACUGCUUUGCUUGAGGCCGGGAGAGGUGAGUGGAAUUCCCAGUGUAGCGGUGAAAUGCGUAGAUAUUGGGAGGAACACCAGUGGCGAAGGCGGCUCACUGGACCGGUUCUGACGCUGAGGCGCGAAAGCGUGGGGAGCAAACGGG
rnacentral:rRNA from 1 species